rnacentral:misc_RNA from 1 species
UGGACUUGACAUGGUGCUGCAAGCGCACGGAAACGUGUGACCUUCGAGGGUGCACCACAGAUGCUGCAUGGCUGUCGUCAGCUCGUGUCGUGAGAUGUUGGGUUAAGUCCCGCAACGAGCGCAACCCUUGCCCUUAGUUGCCAGCGGGUAAUGCCGGGGACUCUAAGGGGACUGCCGGGGACAACUCGGAGGAAGGUGGGGAUGACGUAGCUAAGCCUUC